AUACUUAGCUGGCAGGGGAAACACUAUGACAUGAAGGUGGUUCUCCCAGGACAAAGCUAAUCCAUUGCACUUCUGGUGUGCACACUCCUGCGAUAUCCCCAAAUGCGGGAUACUCGACUGAAAAAUUUGUGGUAGUGGGGGACUGUGUUCGCGCUCUCAUA
rnacentral:snRNA from 1 species